rnacentral:rRNA from 1 species
AGUAGUUUGAUCCGUGGCUCAGAACGACGCUGGCGGCAGGCUUAACACAUGCAAGUUGAACGGGAUUUCAAGGUAGCUUGCUAUUUUGGAUGAGAGUGGCGCACGGGUGAGUAAUACGUGGGAACAUACCUAUUGGUUCGGAACAACUGAUGGAAACGUCAGCUAAUACCGGAUAAGCCCUGAGGGGGAAAGAUUUAUCGCUAAUAGAAUGGCCCGCGGCAGAUUAGGCAGUUGGUGGGGUAAAGGCCUACCAAACCUACGAUCUGUAGCUGGUCUGAGAGGACGAUCAGCCACAUUGGGACUGAGACACGGCCCAGACUCC